rnacentral:rRNA from 1 species
CCAAGGAGUCUAACAUGUGCGCGAGUCAAUGGGGAUCUCUCGAGACCCACGGGCGCAAUGAAAGUGAAGGUGGAGGCUUGUCCCCCACCGAGGCGGGAUCCGUAAAUUUUUAAAUUCCAGUUCUUUUAAUAAAAACUGGCGGCGCACCGCCGGCCCGUCGCAAACGCAACGCCGUUGCGGCGGAGCAAGAGCGUACACGUUGGGACCCGAAAGAUGGUGAUCUAUGCCCGGGCAGGACGAAGCCAGAGGAAACUCUGGUGGAGGUCCGUAGCGAUUCUGACGUGCAAAUCGAUCGUCGGACCUGGGUAUAGGGGCGAAAGACUAAUCGAACCGUCUA